UACGGGGGGGGCAAGCGUUGUUCGGAAUUACUGGGCGUAAAGGGCGCGUAGGCGGUCUGUUAAGUCGGAUGUGAAAACUCUGGGCUCAACCCAGAGCCUGCAUCCGAUACUGGCAGGCUUGAAUCCGGGAGAGGGAUGCGGAAUUCCAGGUGUAGCGGUGAAAUGCGUAGAUAUCUGGAGGAACACCGGUGGCGAAGGCGGCAUCCUGGACCGGCAUUGACGCUGAGGCGCGAAAGCCAGGGGAGCAAACGGG
rnacentral:rRNA from 1 species